rnacentral:rRNA from 1 species
UACAGAGGUCCCAAGCGUUUGUUCGGAUUCAUUGGGCGUAAAGGGUGCGUAGGCGGCGCGGUAAGUCGGGUGUGAAAUCUCGGAGCUUAACUCCGAAACUGCAUUCGAUACUGCCGUGCUUGAGGACUGGAGAGGAGACUGGAAUUUACGGUGUAGCGGUGAAAUGCGUAGAUAUCAGGAGGAACACCGGUGGCGAAGGCGGGUCUCUGGGCCGAUACUGACGCUGGAGGAGCGAAAGCGUGGGGAGCGAACAGG